AUUGAACGCUAGCGGCAGGCUUUACACAUGCAAGUCGAACGAGUGGCGGACGGGUGAGUAAUAUCUCGGAACGUGCCCAGUAGCGGGGGAUAACUACUCGAAACAGUGGCUAAUACCGCAUACUAUUGGAUCUGCCCAUAUCGGAUUAGCUUGUUGGUGGGGUAAAGGCUCACCAAGGCCACGAUCCUUAGCUGGUGUGAGAGGAUGACCAGCCACACUGGGACUGAGAAACGGGCCAGACUCCUACGGGAGGCAGCAGUGGGGAAUUUUGGACAAUGGGGGAAAGCCUGAUCCAGCCAUCCCGCGUGUAUGAGAAGGCCUUCGGGUUGUAAAGUACUUUUGGCGGGGAGGCGGUAUCUGUAGAAGAAGCACCGGCUAACUACGUGCCAGCAGCCGCGGUAAUAC
rnacentral:rRNA from 1 species